rnacentral:rRNA from 1 species
UAACACGUAGGAUGCAAGCGUUAUUCGGAUUUACUGGGCGUAAAGCGCGUGUAGGCGGUUGGGAUAGUUGGAUGUGAAAGCUCCCGGCUUAACUGGGAGAGGUCGUUCAAAACUUCCCAACUAGAGUUUGGUAGAGGAAAAUGGAAUUCCGGGUGUAGUGGUGAAAUGCGUAGAUAUCCGGAGGAACACCAGUGGCGAAAGCGAUUUUCUGGACCGAUACUGACGCUCAGACGCGAAAGCUAGGGUAGCAAACGGGAUUAGAGACCCCGGUAGUCCUAGCCGUAAACGAUGUAGACUAGGCGUUGGUGGAGUAAAAUUCAUCAGUGCCGCAGCAAACGCGAUAAGUCUACCGCCUGGGGAGUACGGCCGCAAGGUUAAAACUUAAAUGAAUUGACGG